ACGGCUCAGUAACACGUGGCUAAUCUGCCCUUAGGACGAGAACAACCCCGGGAAACUGGGGCUAAUUCUCGAUAGGCGAAGAACUCUGGAAUGAGUCUUUACCUAAAUAGUGCAACGUUAUCCUCGUUGCAUCGCCUAAGGAUGAGGCCGCGACCGAUCAGGUUGUUGGCGAGGUAAUGGCUCACCAAGCCUUUUACCGGUGCGGGCCGUGAGAGCGGGAGCCCGGAGAUGGGCACUGAGACAAGGGCCCAGGCCCUACGGGGCGCAGCAGUCGCGAAAACUUUGCAAUAAGCGAAAGCUUGACAGGGCUAUCCCGAGUGCCAUCCGCUGAGGAAGGCUUUUACCCAGUCUAGAACGCUGGGGGAAUAAGGAGAGGGCAAGUCUGGUGUCAGCCGCCGCGGUAAUACCAGCUCUCCGAGUGGUGUGGAUGUUUAUUGGGCCUAAAGCAUCCGUAGCUGGCUAGGUCAGUCCCUUGUUAAAUCCACCGAAUUAAUCGUUGGAUUGCGGGGGAUACUGCUUGGCUAGGGGACGAGAGAGGCAGACGGUAUUUUCGGGGUAGGGGUGAAAUCCUAUAAUCCCGGGAAGACCACCAGUGGCGAAGGCUGUCUGCUAGAACGCGCCCGACGGUGAGGGAUGAAAGCUGGGGGAGCGAACCGGAUUAGAUACCCGGGUAGUCCCAGCUGUAAACGAUGCAGACUAGGUGUUUGGACGGCCACGUGCCGUUCUAGUGCCGCAGGGAAGCUGUUAAGUCUGCCGCCUGGGGAGUACGAUCGCAAGAUUGAAACUUAAAGGAAUUGGCGGGGGAGCAC
rnacentral:rRNA from 1 species